rnacentral:lncRNA from 1 species
CUUCUGCGAGGGCGCGAGGACUCCAGGAGCCGUCCUGGUUCGAGCAUUUCUGAAGAAACUGAGUUCCCGGCGUUCGCAGCCUGGGAGUCACAGGCGCCCACCCACCGGUAGGUCCUUGAGUUUCGAGAGCCAGUAGCUGAAGGAGAGAGGAGAGGCAAGUGCCUACAACUCCCAGAGCACUGCGCGGAGGCGCCCGGCCGCGCUGUCCUGGCCGCCAGGCUGCCUCUCCCGCUGGGGGCCGCCGCGCUGUCUGCGGGCUACUAGCGCCGGGCCCCUCCGCGUCGCCACGCCUGCCCUUCACAGCCUUGGCCCAUAAGGUCACCGAGGGGCGGGAGGCGCCGCCCGGGCCCUCCUUGGAGGCGGGCGCUGCUCCCGCACCAUCCUCCCCCAGUUCUCUUAGACUCCGGGGUACUUUGGAGGCCGAGACAGACACGCUGUCCCUGCUGCCACGGAGGUCCCUGCUUGCAGGUGCAGGCUGUUAGAGGAGAGGGUCUGAAAACAAGAAAGGGGAAUAGCUGUAUGAUAACUGCUUGAAGGCGAGAGGGCCCAGCGACAGCUCUGUUUUAGACAGGGCCUCCAGGCCUCUUAGACUCAGUCCCUGCCACGCACCCACUCCUGCCCUGGCCGCUGCGACGGCAUAAUCUCGGGAUCUUUGAAGGCAGAUGCGGGGCUAAACCAUCCCACCUGACGGGAACCCUGCCACAGGACCCGACAUAUCCCUGUCUGGACACUGCUGUAACGAGUCAAAGUCAGGAAGGACUAACUGGAGCCCAGAGAUUCCCAGGUGCUGCUGCCUCAGACCUGUGGACUCUUUGGAGGAUCUCUUACAGUUUGUGAACUUCUCAGUUCCUCUACUGCUCCCACAGACAACGUUGCUAAACAUAUUAAUUGGUCCCAUAAAUACUUGAGCAAAACAAAUGCGAAAAUCUGUCCCGAAUUCAGCCUAGAAGAAGCCCAGCCCUGCGCGUCACACUUCUGUGUAGUGGAACCCCCCUUCCCACCCCGCCGCAGGCCACAGCAGGAGGGCCAGCAGACGGAAAGGCGACCCUCUCCUUGUUGAGGAUUCCUUUCGAUUUCCUUCCAGCUGACAUUCUACCACAGUUUUAGCUGCUUGCAAUCCUCUCACCGUCCCUCAUCACCUACAGUGUGUGAUUCAAAUUCCUUAGCACAAUCAAGAAGCCCCUCCUUAGUUUGGAAGUUGCCUAGCUCUCCAAAUUCAACUGCCUACCUUUCCCGUCUGGAACUUGCCAGGCUAGUAAAUUCAGAGGGUUUGCAGAUACGUAGAUGUUCUAUGCUUUACCUAAAAUGCUUUUACCUCCCAGCCAACUUUUUUUUUUUUUUUUGAGACAGAGUCUUGCUCUGUCGCCCAGGCUUGAGUGCAGUGGUGCGAUCUUGGCUCACUGCAACCUCCGCCUCCCAGGUUCAAGCAAUUCUCCUACCUCAGCCUCCUGAGUACCUGGGAUUACAGGUGGUGCCACCACACCCAGCUAAUUUUUGUAUUUUUAGUAGAGACGGGGUUUCACCAUGUUGGUCAGGCUGGUGUCCAACUCCUGACCUCAUGAUCCAUCCCCCUCAGCCUCCCAAAGUGCUGGGAUUUACAGGCAUGAGCCACGGUGCCCAGCUCUCCCAGCCAACUUUUGUCCUUCAAGACCUUGUACCUGUCUGGUCUCUAAAAAGUACCUGGCCUUCCUGUUGAGUCAUACAGCCCUGCCUCCAAGUGUCAGCGUAGUUCAUGCUGGAGACCUCUUAACAGUUCCAUGGUAUGACACUGCGGAUAUGGCUGUCUUUUCUUUGUAUCAGUGUGGUGAUUCAGAGGGUAUACUAGGGAUUCUAGAACGCACUUCUGGCUCAGGGGCUGCUUGUGUAACUUCUGUUUCUCAGCUGCCUGGUUUGUAUCAUGGGAUGAUAGUAUCUCCCCUCAGAGGAUUGCGGUAUUUCAUGAGGUGAUACGUGUAUGGAGGCCAAGUGCUGUUUUAUAUUUUAAGUGAUCUACAUCUUGAUUUUCACAACAACUGUAUAAAAGUGAUACUGUUGGCCAGGUGCGUUAGCUCACGCCUGUAAUCCCAGCACUUUGGGAGGCCAAGGCGGGUGGAUCACCUGAGGUCAGGAGUUCAAGACCGGCCUGGCCAGCAUGGUGACACCUCGUCUGUACUAAAAAUACAAAAAUUAGCCGGGCAUCGUGGCACACGCCUGUAAUCCCAGCUACUCGGGAGGCUGAGGCAUGAGAAUCAUUUGAACCCGGGAGGUGGAGGUUACAGUGAGCUGAGAUCGCACGACUGCACUCCAGAAUGGAUGACAGAGCAAGACUCUGUCUUAAUAAUAGUAUCACUUUUUUUUUUAAUCAACAAUCUCAUUUUGUAAAUGAGGAAAUCAACUUACAGACGACCUGAGUGACUUGCUCACACUGCCAGCCAGGAAAGUGCUAGGAUUUGAGCCCAGACUGUCCAGUUACAGAGAUUACACUCUGCCAUUGUGCCUCUCCAGAAGCACUGGAGGUAGGUCUAGUGCAUAGAGUAAAUGUAAAUGCUGAAACAACUGUGGCCCUAAUGAACAUCCCAUUUCUCCAGCUUUUUACUCUCCCCUUAACUUCUGAAUGACCGUCUGCUUCUAAUCUGCCAACUUGGUCUAAGAUCCUCACGGUGUUUCCUCCUGAUUACUGUUAAUGCACGGAGGUUGUCUGGAAGGUUCAUAGGCAGCCUGAUUGACUCAGUAUGUAUUAGCUGAGCACCUUUGGAGGGCACAGCCUGAGUGGUGGGAAUUAGUUCCUGGGGGCUGUCCUGCGGUGGAGACUCCCGUGAGCCCUCUGUCCUGCUGUAUGAAGGCAGCCAGUGGAAAGGCAUGUCCUCGCUGGUGCUCAAAGUAAUCUGCUACUUCUCUUACUACACUUUUCAUUCAUUCAUUCUUAAAUCGUUGAAGGCAUACUCUGCAGGUACUCUUGGGCACAGAGAUACGGUGUUUAGUAAGACAAACACUGUUCCUGGGUCUUAACGGGCUUUACAUUCCAAUGGGAUAAACAACUUAAGUAAAUAUUUUCAGAGAGGAGUACCAAGAAGAAAAGGAACAGGAUGAUAUAAUGGAGUGACUUGGAGAUCACAGGUGGUAAGAGGUCACUCUAAAAAGGUAACAUUUGAAGGCUGGGCACAAUGGCUCACACCUGUAACCCCAGCACUUUAGGAGGCUGAGGAAGGAGGACAGCUUGAGUCCAGGAGUUUGAGGCCAGCCUGGGCAACAUGGGGAGACCUUGACUCUACAAAAAAUUUAAACAUUAACUAAGUAUGGUGGCACGUGCCUGUAGUCCUAGCUACUGGAGAGGCUGAGGUGAGAGGAUCUCUUGAGCCCAGGAGUUUGAGACUGCAGUGAGCUAUGUUUGUAUUACUACACUCCAGCCUGAGGGACAGAGUGAGACCCUGUCUCUUAAAAACGAAAACCCGACUGUAUCAAAAGGUAACAUUUGAGUGGGACUUGAAAGAGUGUGCAUGCGAAGGACUGAAGACAGAAUGUUCUGUGCAGAGCGAAUUAAUGCAAUGGCUUUGCAGUGCAGAUGGGCCUGGGGUGGUCCAAUAAGGUUAGGACCAAGGUGGCUGGAGCAUCAUGAGACAAGCGUGGUACUUAGCUUGCCUUUGGUUAAGUCACUUUCUCUAUUUGAAUUUCAGUUUCUCACCUGUAAAAUAUGAGUAAUUUUAUCUGUAUUAGCCAGUGUGUAAUUAGAGGAAAAACCAUUUAAUACAGGGUAUUGUUUACAAAGGUGUUGGAAGGGCAUGAGAAACAAGGGGAGAACAAGGGCACCCAAAGCCUGACCCCCACAAGGCUAGAGGAGCAACAGGAAAAUUCGUUUCCAGAGACUGAUUCCUCAGCUGCUGAGCAGGAGCCUGGAGCCACACUUGCUGCCUGGUACUACUGACACACAACUGGAACCACCGCUGUGGCCUGGGGUGCCACCAGAAGCCAGAGAUUAGAAUUGCUUUCCCCAUCUCAUAUCUUCCAAACUCCCACCAGUGCCUCCCACUGGCUGAGUCAGAUGACAAGGGAGUCUGGGAAAUGUAGUUGUUUGGCUUCCAGCCCUGACCAUGGAGAGUAUAGAAAGGCAGGUGUAGGGGAGAAAAUAGAUGCCAUUCACACAGCGCCUAUCUUGCAGGGCUGUUUUGAGGAGUAAAAACUCAGCCUAUUUUUAUUCCUCAUAGCAUGUAGUAGCAUUCAGGGAAAGGCAAAUCUUCCAAAACAAUAUCUUAGGUAUAAUAGUUCUACAUAAAGGUUUGAAUUUACCAUUAAAAGCAUCAAAAUGAGCAUUUUAAAAGUAGAAUUUUAAGUCUGAAUGGGCAGUAUAUUCACAUGGUAUAAAAUUCAAAUUACAAAACAAUAUACAGUGAAAAAUAAGGGGGUUUUUUUGCUCAUCUUCUUGUGACCUGGCUCUUUCCAUCUCUGUCCACAACCCUCUGCAGGCAAUAACUGGUACCUUUGUUAUGGAUCCUCUGCAGAUAUAAAGUAGACAUAUAUUAACAAAUGUUUUCUUUGGCCCAGAGGAUGCAUAUUAUGCACAUUCCUCCAUUUCUUGUUUGUUUUUGUUUUUUCCACUUAAUUGUAUCUUGGAGAUCACUCUGUAUCAGUAUAUAUCUGAUUUGUUUUAGCAGUACAUGAUAAUCCAUUGUUUGGAUAUGCCAUAAUUGUAUCAGCCAGUCUCUGGACAGUCUUUUACUAUUUCAAGGAGUGCUGCAGUAAACAUGUUUGCGCCACUUCCUGGUACCCAUUGCAAAUAAAACUGGGAUAAUUUCCUGACGAGAACUUGCUGGGUCAGAGUGUAGGCACUUGUUGUUUUGAUAAAUAUUGCCAGACUACACCCCACUCCCUCCAGCAGUACAUGACACUGCCUAUUUCCCCACAGCUGUGCCAGCAUGGUCUGUUAGCAAGUGUUUUCUUUUUGCAAAUUUAAAAGUGGUAUCUCGCUAAAUGCAAUAUGGUAGCAGAGGACAUUUGUGGAAAAACAGGUGAAAUCUGGGCUGGGUGUGGUGGCUCAUGCCUAUAAUCCCAGCACUUUGGGAGGCCGAGGCAGGCGGAUCACAAGGUCAGGAGUUCGAGACCAGCCUGGCCAAUAUAGUGAAACCCCGUCUCUACUAAAAAUACCAAAAAAAGUUAGCUGGGCAUGGUGGUGCAAGCCUGUAAUCUCAGCUACUCGGGAAGCUGAGUCAGGAGAAUCGCUUGAACCUGGGAGGCGGAGGUUGCAGUGAGCCAAGAUCAUGCCACUGCACUCCAGCCUGGGUGAUGGAGUGAGACUCUGUCUCAAGAAAGGAAAAAAAAAACAAAAAACAGGUGAAAUCUGAAUGGGGUCUUGAGUUCAGUUAAUAGUAACUGCCAAUGUUGGUUCUUAGUUUUGACACAUACCAUGACUAUGUGAGAUGUUAAUGUCAGGGGAACCAGGAUGAAGGCUAUACAGAACUGUACUAUUUUUGCGACUUCUCUGUACAUCUAAAAUUAUCCUUAAAAAGGUUUCUUUAAAAAAUGACAUCUUGUUUUCUGUAAAAUUUGAAUUUCUCAUGAGUGAAAUGGAACGUUUUGAAUAUGAUGCUCUUUUUAAAAGGUGGCCUUAAUAAUUUGUAUUUACUAAGGAAAAAAGUCAGAGUUUAUUUACUUUAAAAAAAUUCAGGCCGGGCGUGGUGGCUCAUGCCUGUAAUCCCAGCACUUUGGGAGGCUGAGGCGGGCGGAUCACGAGGUCAGGAGAUCAAGACCAUCCUGGCUAACAUGGUGAAACCCUGUCUCUACUAAAAAUACAAAAAAUGAGCCGGGCGAGGUGGCAGGCGCCUGUAGUCCCGGCUACUCUGGAGGCUGAGGCAGGAGAAUGGCGUAAACCCGGGGGGUGGAGCCUGCAGUGAGCAGAGAUUGCGCCACUGCACUCCAGCCUGGGGGACAGAGCGAGACUCCGUCUGAAAAAAAAAAAAAAUUCAUUAACAGUACAUUUAAAAUUUCUGUUACUGGAGAUUGUAUUUCUCAUUCCAUCCAUUAAUGUGCAGCUUCAAUGUUUUCCCCCAGAUAUGCAAUUUCACUUACAGGAUCUUGUUCUUCAGUGACAUGUCAUAAGAGUUAAUAAUUCCACAAGCCACCCUGCACUGCUGUGAUCCUAACAAUAUUGAAAGAGUCUUGCUCUGUCGCCCAGGCUGGAGUGAGGAAGCCCUAAUAUAUAAUCUUCAGUCAACUGUUAAUCUGGAAGCCUCACCACAUUGCUUUUUGGAUUAGCAGAAUGCCAUCCUGGGGAAUCCCAGCAGAAAGGAAGAAAGGAGCACUGUCAGUCUUACUGGUCACCCCUGGCCAAGGCCCAGUCAUGACCCUUCCUUCCAUCUCCAUUUGAUCCCAUCAUAAACCUCAAGAAAAGUAAAAAGCAUCAUCAUCUUAGGAAAAAGUGUGGCGGGGGUGCUCAAUAUGUUGAUCAUGUUAUGGCAAGACUCCAGAUUAUCUCUCUUCUUCUUUUUUUUUUUUUUUUUUAGGCGGAGUCUCACUCUGUUGCCCAGGCUGGAGUGCAGUGGCGCAAUCUUGGCUUACUGCAAGCUCCGCCUCCCGGGUUCACGCCAUUCUCCUGCCUCAGCCUCCCGAGUAGCUGGGACUACAGGCUCCCGCCACCAUGCCCAGCUAAUUUUUUGUAUUUUUUAAUAGAGACGGGGUUUCACCGUGUUAGCCAGGAUGGUCUCGAUCUCUUGACCUCGUGAUCUGCCCGCCUCGGCCUCCCAAAGUGCUGAGAUUACAGGCGUGAGCCACCGCGCCGGGCCUUGUGCAUUAAAUUCUAAAAGCAACGCUCGUACGGAAAUGCAGGCAUUUUGUGAGCAGCGCCUGGUUCCCUCCUGGCUGUGCAGCUGUGGGGCCUGGCUGUCCUUACUCUCCAGUGCAGGUGGAGCUCCUGUGGAAAGUGCAAAGGGUCCUGUUUCCAGGGCUAUGAGUGCUGUCACUUGUCACUUGUAUGCUUGCGCCAGGGCACCCAGUGGGGCAGGCAUGGAAGCUUGUUGCAGCAGCACCCUCCUCCCUGCCCCUGGAAACUAACAUGACCUCAGCAGGACAGGCCAUUUCUGGGAGGCAGCCUGUCCACAUGGAACACGUUGCCAUGGAUGGUAUGAUGGUGGUCAGCUGCAUGGGUCAUCUGGCGCAAGACUGGCCCAGGCAUCUCUGAUCUUAGGGCUGACAAGCGCUGGAUGAAGAGUAAGUGGUGGUCUGGGCUCUGGCCCCAGUGACAUCAUGCGCUUGCAGUGGCCCUGAAUAGCCACCCCUGCUUCUGCGCCUUCUUUCUCUGCUUAGAAAUGAGCCCUGCCAUCACGCUGGACCCUUCAUCCACUCAAUAUUUUUCUUAAGUGGGUUCAUUCUUUGAACACUGAAACAUAUUAUUUAAAAGGGAAACUGGCCGGGCGUGGUGGCUCAUGCCUGUAAUCCCAGCACUUGGGGAGGCCGAGGCAGGUGGAUUGCUUGAGCCCAGGAGUUCAAGACUAACCCAGGCACCACAGGAAGACCCUGUCUCUACAAAAUAUCAAAAAAUUAGCUGGGAAUGGUGGUGCAUGCCUGUAGUCCCAGCUACUCAGGAGGCUGAGGUGGGAGGAUUGCUUGAGCCCUGGAGGUUGAGGCUGCAGUGAGCUGUGAUUGUGCCACCAUCCUCCAGCCUGGGAGACAGAGUGAAACUCCAUCUCAAAAAAUAAAUAUUUUAUUUAGAAAAGGAAGCUCUGUGCAGCCACCUAAAUGGAACACCUGUAUCAUGUGCAGGUAACUGCAAAAGUAAAUACAAUGAAGACCAAAGCCAAAAUAUUAUAAAAUUCCAGAUAGACUUGGCUGCCUCCCUACAUCUCGGUGCCUGGGCUCUGCAUUUGUUGGAGUUAGGGGCGUGCUGGCCUGGAGCUGAGCCCUACUUCACCUACACAGGUGACUGGAAGAUCCUUGAAGAGGGAGGCUCUUUCCCAGCAGGUGAGGGGUGCCAUUGAACUUGGGGCUUUGCUCUAUCUAGGAAGGCCUGCCAGCCGGCGUGCCUCUGAAGAAAUGCUCACCUGUGAGCAGGGAGCGCUCCCUAAACGCUAGUGGUGGGAUUCUCCCUCUCUCCACUGGGCCUCAAAACACAGGCUCUUUGUUCACAUGGCUGGAGACUGCCGAGGGUUUGGCUGCUGCUCAGGACCGCCUGGAUUCCUCACAGAGAGUGGCAAGGAGGCAUCAGGAUACACCAGGAAAUUCCCAGAACCAUAAGGUGGGAGACCCAGGUUUGAGUCCUGCCUUUGGCACCAAGCCAGCUGGGGGACUUUAUUAUUCAUGCAGUCUACAAAUAUUUAUUGAGCAUUUCCUGUGUGCCUGAUACUGUGCCAGGGCUGGGCUUUGGCAGUAAACAAGAUGGAAAUGAAAUUGCUUUGGCAAUUUGGCAGUCUGGCAAUUUGGCAAUGAACAAGAUGGAAAUCAAACCCCUUGCCCUAGUGGGGCUUUUAUUGAAGUGACAGGAGAUAGUCAGCAAACAAGGAAACAAGUAGGAAACUUCCAAGUAGUGAUAUGGGAUCAGAAUAAGAUGGGGUAAUAGGAUAGAGUGCCUAGGGAGCCAGCAUUAGAUGGGGAGGUCAGGGAAGGCAGUGUCUGGAAUAUGGGUGUGAUGCCUGGAGACAUAGCAGCCAUUUUGUGACCAUGAGGCAAGAAGCAUGAGGACAAAAAACAACAUAGCAACGAUGCUGCAGAGGGAAGUUGAGAAGAGCCUAGGCCUUUGAUGACAUCAUUGCACCACUGCACAAACUCUGGACCUUCAUCCUCCAGGCUUCAUGAUACAUGAGAUAAAUGAAAUGCCCUGUGGGUUAGGCUUUUCUAGCAGCUAAACAUGUCUUUAACUAAAACAGACUUAAACGACAAGGAAGAGCAAACUAGGAGAAUAUGUAGAAGAAGAACAUUUCAGGUAGAGGGAACACAUGUGCAAAGGCCCUGAGGCAGGAAUGAGCUUGAAAGAGUUGAUGAACAUAACGUCAGUGCAGCUGAAGUGUGAUGAAGUGGAGGGACAUAGGUAAGCAGAGGCAGCAUUGGGGCCCUUGGGUUUUAUCCUUCAUGCAGUAAAUAAGAGGGCAUUGGGGACUUUUGAGCAGGAGAGAGACACGAUGUGAUUGAGGUUUUAGAAAGCUCUUUCUGGCUGCUGCAUGGAGCCCACAGGGGGCAAGACAGCAGUCAGGCCAAAAGGUCAAGUGAGGAGUGAUGGACUCUGGCCUGACUCGGCCACAGCAGAGAUGGAGUCUGGGGGCCACGCAUAUAAUACACCACACACACCUCAAUACACCCCCUUCUGCCCAGGCAGACCCAGGUUCCAGUCCUGACCCUGCCACUUGUCAGCUCUCAAACCUACCCAUUUUCUCUCUCCUUACUGCCCCAAUCAUAGUGCAGGACGUCAUCGUCUCUCACCUAGCAUCUGCCACGGCCUUCUAAUCUGCCUUCCUACCUCUAGCCUUCAUCCCUCCCAUCCUUUUUCCACAUCCCAGCCACAGUUAUAUAUUUUUUCUUUUCUCUUUUUUUUUUUUUUUUCCAGAUAGAGGUUCACUGUGUCACCCAGGCUGGUCUCCAACUCCUGGGCCCAAGUAAUCCUCCCACCUCAGCCUCCCAAAGUGUUGGCAUUACAGGCGAGAGCCACUGUGCCUGGCCUAGCCACAAUAAUUCUUUUAAAACAAUAAAUGUAACCAUACUGCUUCUCUGCUUAGAAUCUUCUAGUGGAGCCUCAGCGUCAAGUCUAGAUCCCUGGCCAUGGCCUGUGUGUUUGUCAGGGCGUUGUCAGCUGCUGGAGCAAAUGGGCUGAGAAAUGCUUCAUAGUUAAGAUGCAGUUCAGUCUGGUUCUUCCUCACUGUGGUGUGAAGUAGGUGUCUCUUGCCAGUGGAUAGCUUUCCUCCACGCGGUGAUUCAGGGACCCAGGCUCCAACUGUCUUCUUCCCCUUCUCUAUCCAGCCAGUUUAAGGGAAGCAGAGGUGAGGGAGGAGCCCUCCCACUCUUAGAAGCCUCAGUCCACCUCUGCUCACAAUUGACUGCAGGGGGAGACUAUGAAAUAGUCUGUGUAUCCAGGGAGGUCAGAAAAUGGAUUUUUAAUGAUUCACUAUGAGUCUCACAACAGUCUUUCUUUCUGGCAACGAGAUAGCAGUGUGCUCUUUCUUCUAUCACACCCUCCCCCAGAGGGAUGACCCCAGACUCCAUCUGUCUCUGCCUGUGGCCCUGCAUCUCCUGGAACAUUCCAUGCUCUCCGCUAGUACCAUCCCGUGAUCUCCAAGUAAAAUCCAGUUCCUGCUCCCUCUGAACUGACUGGGGGCAGUUAAAGCUCUCAUUAGGGAAGGGGGAACAGGGACACACAGCAGCCCCCACACCACAAUUGCAGAAUCUGACUGGCGGUGUUGUGAAGCUCCCUGUCCUACUCGUGGAGGGAUUUCCCAUCUCUGCUUUCUGGGAGGCCCCUCCUCAUCCAGUAUUCUCCGUGGCAACAUCUGAGGUGGGGACCACAUGGUUUUUGCAGCUCUUUUCCUGCCUGUACAAGGGUGGAGGCCCAAGGCUUGUUCUACAAUGACAGGCUUGUGGUGUCUUUGGCAAUACAAUUCCCUCCAGAUUUUAGGGAGUUUUCCUUCCAAUAAGUUCCAUGUGACCACACCCGAGGUACUUUUCUACUGUCAUCUUCCAGCAGCUUUAUUUCUUUGCUUCCUUAUUUCCCAUGUCUCUGUCUCUGCUGUCUCUGUCUGUCUGUGUACUGACACUGACCUUGAGAACAUCUCAACAGUUAGUGGGGCAAGACCACCCACUUCAUUUGAUCCUUGCUGCAGGAUUAAGGCCUUUGUAGACCUGAGAGUUUUAAUGAGCCUUUGCUACUUAAAACCUUUUUAUUUUUAUUUCCUGCUAUUUGAGAUCCAUUCACAGUUCACUUUUCCAACACUACAAGGCCUCAAACUCUUCAUAUUUCCCUUUCUUCUAUUUCCACACUGUUUAUAUCUUGCUUGAGUGCGUCUCUGUCUCACAAUACCUUACUGUACACCAAAGGAAUGACUAACAUACUUUUUUUUUUUUUUGAGAUGGAGUCUCGCUCUGUCUUCAGGCUGGAGUGCAGUGGCACGAUCUCGGCUCACUGCAACCUCCGCCUCCUGGUUUCAAGUGAUUCUCUUGCCUCAGCCUCCCAAGUAGCUGGGACUACAGGCAUAUGCCACCAUGCCCAGCUAAUUUUUGUAUUUUUAUUAGAGACAGGGUUUCACCAUGAUGGCCAGGAUGGUCUCGAUCUCUUGACCUCGUCAUCUGCCUGCCUCGGCCUCCCAAAGUGUUGGGAUUACAGGCAUGAGCCACCGCACCCAGCCCAACAUACAUUUUUAUUGCAGCUCACUCAGCCACCUUCUUCUGGAGCUACAGGCUUACUUCUCCCAGUCUUCCCUUCAAGCUAUUGUAGGCUACAGGUCUAACAAACAUUUCACCUCUGCAUGACAUAAGUCUCCCACUUUCCAUUCUGCAACAUCUAUUUUCAUGUUCCCUGCUGCCUGGCCACUAAGCCAAUGGUACAUAUUUUAGGUUUCAAGUUAUGGCGGCACUCUAUUUUGAGGUAUUCAUUAGUGCACACUAUCUCCUGUAACAAAUAGACCCCAAAAUGCAGAAUGAUUAAAACACCACAGAGAUGUGUUUCUCACAUAACAAGCCAGAGUGAGAGCUCAUUAGUGGCACGUGGCUUUUCUCCUGAAAAGCUGAAUGCAGUGAUUCGGAAACCCGUGUUCUUUACAGUUAGUAGAUUCACCCUUCCCAAGGCCUAGUAACCAAUGGUAUUCAGCGGUGGAACGGGAAAGAGAGAGCCUGGAGAGAGCCCAUAUCCAUACUCCUUGCAGAAUGCAGACCUCAGGCCCCAUCUGCUGUGUGGGUGGCAGGAGGUGCAGCUGUGUGCCCAUGAGUGAAAACCCAUUGAACUGCUAACAAUCUCUCCCACACUUCAGGGCUGUCCAUCAUCCAGCCAUCCCACCUCUCCAGUCUCAUCCCUUGACCUUCCCCCUGCCAGCCUCACUCAUCUUCAUUCGAUUCCUCAAGGAUGGCAUGACUCUCUCAUCUCUAGGUCUUUGCUCAUGUUGGUUAGUCCACCUGGAGCCCUCUCUCCCUCACUGUUCUAGCCAUUCACCCAGCCAGCCAGCCAUCCACUCAUCCACCAAACCAUCCACCCACCUACUCAUCCAGCCAUCCACCCAGCCAUCCAUUCACCCAUUCAUCCAGUCACCCACCCAUCCACCCAUCCACCCAUCCACCCAUCUACCCAUCCAUCCACCCACCCAUCUAUCCACCCAUUCAUCCACUCUUCCAUCCAUCUACCCACUCAUCCACCCAGCCAUUCAUCCACCCACACCCAUCCAUCCACCCACUCACUCAUGCAUCCACUCACCCAUCCACCCACACAUCCACUCAUUCAUCCACCCACCCAUCCACCCACUCACUCAUCCACCCACACAUCCACUCAUUCACCCAUCCACCCACUCAUCCACUCAGCCAUCCAUCCACCCACACCCAUCCACUGAUUCACCCACUCAUCUGCCCACCCAUCCAUCCACCCACUCAUCCACCCGUCCAUCUAUCCAUCCACCCACUCAUCUAUCCACCAAUCCAUCCAUCCACUCAUCCAUCUGUCCACCCACUCAUCCACCCACACCCAUCCAUCCAUCCACCCACUCAUCUGCCCACUCACCUAUCCUUCCAUCCAUCCACUCAUCUACCCAUCCAUCUAUCCACCCAAUCAUCUACCCACUCACCCAUCCACCCUUUAAUCCAUACACUCACUCAUCUACCCAUCCAUCUAUCCACCCACCCAUCCACCCAGCCAUUCACCCAUCCACCCAUCCAUCCAUCCACCCACCCACCAUCCACCCACCUAUCCACUAAUUCACCCACCCACUCAUCCAUUCAUUCAUCCAUUUACCCAUCCAUCCAUCCACCCACCUAUCCACACACCCAUCCACUAGUUCACCCACCCACCCACCCAACAAAUGUUUUGAGCACUAAAUGUGUGCCAGGCACUGAUCCAGAUGCUGGGAUUCUGCAAUGAACAAAACAAACAAACUCCUGCUCUCAUGCAGCUUGUAUUCUAGCUGGGAGAGACAAUGAAUAAUAAACCAGAUAAAAUAAAUAAAUCAUACAUUGUGUAAGAAAAAAUCAAUGGCUGGAAAAAAAUGGGGCAGGGUAAGGGGAUCAGAAGUGGAGGAGGCGGCAAUUUAAAUGUUAGGCAGGGGAGAACUGGGAAGGAAGGCCUCAUCCAGAAGGUGAUCAUUGGGCACAGACCUGAAGGAGGUGAGGGACGGAGUCAUGAGCAUAUCUAGGGGAAGAGUACUCUGGGCAGAGGGCAUAGCCUCUGAGGUGGGAGCAGCUUUGCAGAUACGAGGACCAGCAGGAGGCCCAUGUGGCUGGGGUGGAGUGAGAAAGGAGAAGAGUAGUGGGAGAUGAGGUCAGAGACCAUGAGGCCUGGAUCCCUUGGGGCCUGCAGGCUGUGCCCCUUGCAAAGCUCCCUCAUCUUUCAGGCCCCAGCCCACAUCUCCUUCUUCAAGAGAGCCUUGCAAGUUCUCCGCAUUGGGACUGGGUGCGUCGCCUGCGUGUGCACCAAUAGUCUGGUCACAAAGUUUCUUGCUACGUGUGUACUUUCUCAUCCCCCUCCCCUGAACUCGGGUCCUGUGAAGAUAGAGCCCCAUCUGCCUGGGUCACCCUCACUGAGCACGGUGUGGAUGACAUAUCUCCAAAGGGCAGUGGCUCCACCUGAACAGGAUGCAGGUUCUCUCCUCAUGGCUUGUUGGGAAGUUUAAAUGAGACGACCUAGUCCAGGGCACCUAGUUGAACUUUUUGUCUUAGUUGGCAGAUGAAACACCAAUACAUUUUUAUGCUCUGGCUCUCCUUUCCUAGAUUCCAGAAUGGCCAUGCAGAGGCUUAUUCCUGCAGUCUCAGUGUCUUUCCACACCCAAUGUAUGACCCCAUCAAGUUUCCUCUUGAAUCAGGACAACUCUCAGGAACAAACCGCUCAAGGGGCCCCGUCUUUCAACUCCUGGGUUCCACCCUCUCCCUAAUUCAGAAAAUGAUAGAAUCUCACCCAGCCAGAUCUCCCACCUGACUCCAUGUUUAAUGGCCUACAAGUGUCUCCCUCGACCCUCAGACAAGCUCUUCCCAAGACAAGGGACCUUUUACUUUUAGCACUCCAGUGCAUGAUGUGCUGGUAUUAGUGAUGGCAGAUGAGCUGGUAUUGCUAAUAACCAUUAUCUCACCCGUCCACACAUCCAUCCACCCACUUACCCAUCCACCCACUCAUCUACCCCUCCAUCUAUCACCCAAUCAUCUACCCACUAUCCAUCCAUUCUUGGUCUGCCUGGUUCUGGGGUCUGUCAUCCUCUAGAUGCUUUGCCUCAGCCUUGGUAUCAAUGAACUGGCAUUUAUGUCAUAUGCCACAGCCCCUGCAGGCAAGAAUAUUUCUCCUUGCCCUGAUUGUCUGUUGGUUGCCAGCCCUUCCCUUCUCUGAUCACAGAGAAGCUGGAAGCCUGCAAACUACAUUUGCUAGAGCCCUUACCAGUGGGCUUCCAAUUUGUUUCUGCUGGUAGGAAGCACUGAUCAAUCAGAAGGCAGUAAAGUUCCUGGAUCUGGGGGUUUUUUUAGUGGUGGCAACAGCAGGCAUGCACACCUGGGUCUUGUUCAGCCAUCAACUUUCUACCAGGAGUACCCUAGCAGCCCUGUGAUCCCCAGACGCUUCUGGGUGACACCUGUUCCUCCAGCCUCCAUGUAAAAGCAGCUUCCUGCACUUACUUACCAAUAUUUUGGCAAUCUCACCUCCACUCUCACUCCUCUCAUCCUUCCAACAGUUUUCAUAACCAGUCCCCUGCAUUAAAUCCACUCUGAAGUGCCUGGGCAAUUUCCAUUUUCCUGACUCUUCACUGACUGGUAAUGUCCUUGGUAGCAGGAAUGACUUCCUAGAAAUAGAGCCUUAAUGCUGGAAAUCGGGGACUGGUUAUCUGCCUGGAUUGGGCUGGAACGCAGUAAUGACCUCACUGUCAGAGGGGAUGUGGUACCCUGGAAAGUCACAGCAUUCAGUGGCAAAACUAGUCCUCACAAUAUCACCUAUGUUAAGUGCCUGGCGUGAAGUGUCUCUUGAAGGCAAAGUUUGAGAGACCAAAUGGCUGCAGCCCUUCAUGUCAUGGGGACAGCUGGAGAGACUGGUGGCUUCUGACUACACUGGAGUCAGAAGUGAUAAACCCAGCUCAAAACAUGGACAGAAAACCAGAGAGCAUCUUUGAUAACCAGAAAAGAAUCUCUUUAAUAUCUUGUAGCC